CGCUCAUCCGUCGAAGGACGCAUGGUGUGUGGAACAAGCGUACAUAGGCCUACCUGAUCGCGUUCAUUUGUUCGCCUCCCUCCACCUCCCUCUCUCUCCGGUGCAUAUUUAAGCCACUUCUUCAGUGUCCCUGAAAAAACAAUAUGGGUGGUCCCUGGCAGCUGUUUUUGGAGUGCAGCUGAAAGAAAGAAAGAAACAAACAAACCCGGUCAAGAAUUACCAACAUGGCGACGAGGCAGCUUGAUGGACGAAGCGGCAGCUUCUGGUGCUACCGGCCUCAACAUCUCUCUCCUAAGCGCCCUCACUUCACUCCCCAGAUUGUCGUGCUGUUUUCCUUGGGGGGGGGGUGGUGCCUCGUCAUCAGUGUCCACACCUUGAAGCAUAGUAAGUGCCAGUUUAGACAAAAUUUACAAAAUGGGCAGUCAAACAGCCGUUUCUGAAAUAUUUAUAUUUUAAUUUCUAAAAUGUUUCAUUGCUGUUCAGUUUAACUCUAAAGGUCUGCACCUUCAAAAAAGUGUUGCGGCGGGCCCGUAGUGGUCUGGACUCUUCCAGCUGGCUCCUGCAGGGUCUUCAGCCUCUGACUGUAUGUCUGAUGUUAAACACAGUAAGGACUUUUUCAGCUAACCAAGACCCUCACGUCACCGUGCACGUCCCACGCUGCACCUGGAGGAAGGUGGUGCGCGACUGCCUUCUGGAGGCGGUUAUGAUCGUAAGAACUAGGAGGCCAGAAACAAUUCCAUGACUCCCCUGCCUCCUCCAACCAGCUGCUUGGCACUAUGAAGACAAGGAAUUAGGAUUGGUGAAGAAGAGGGAUGGCAACAUAAUGGUUUUGGUCUGGAAAAAGCACACAUUUUCUGCUGACAUCCCCAAGGAGCUCAACCUCAAGAUCAUCUACCAACGUAUGGACCUGAAAACAGCCUAUUCGAGAGGAGGGGCAGGGAUAUGUGAAAUGGGAUUCCUUGUACUCAAAUCGUCUGUAGAUGAUGAAGACUGAACCAGAGGAUAGCACAAUGUUUUGGACCAGUCCAAUAUCCUGUCCUACUGCUAUGCAGUUGUUCCCGGUCUUUGUUGACAGGCAGAAAUCUGUUGUUACUACCUUUCUGUACUGUUUGGCAGUACUGAAUUGCAGAGGCAAAGGACCAUCCUGGUGCAUUUCGUACAAAAGGGGCUGCUUACUUGGAGGUGGAGUAACAGUUUGAGGCACCUCUGACAGUCUCUUGACUACCUGUUGUAAUGGUAGUUGAGGCUUUCGCAACAUUUUUUUUACUUUUCCAAGGAAGUUUUCAUAAGGAAAUGCAGAGACACGGUCAAGGGCACCAAACUGUUUGUACACAUCAGCUAGAUGUAUCACCUGAUGAACUGUAAAUACAAUUUCUCCUUGACCAUAUAAAUCUCCAAAGCUUUUAACAAAUGCUGUUAGGACUCGAUUGGCAAAAUCAAUCAUGGGUGCAGAGAGGUUGGGGCUGAGUAAUAAGAACACACCCACGGAAAACAACAGGAAGUUCUCAAAAAUCUCUUCUGGUAGAUUGUGCUUUAGGACCACAGGUCCACUGUACAUCAUGAACUGCCUUAGUUCUGUAGCCUUCCAUCUUUCGAUCUCUGUCAGCUCUCGUGGUUUUCGGGCAAAUUCAGAUGGAAUAUGGGGACGGAGAGCAAUCAGUUUAGAUGAUAUAGCUGAGAUGACAUUAGAUGGCUGUCUUAUGGCCAGGUUUUUGCCCUUCAUCCAGAAAAUAAUGAGUUUUUUUGUUACACCCAAACAGCAGAGGUGCAUGUAAUCAAUGGGAAACUGGGUUACCAUCUGAACAAUGCCAGUAAGGGGACUAGGUCGCAGGUGGUGAUCUGUGUCUGACAUUAAAGCAAAGUCUUCGUCUGAUCUAAGCCUGGCAUUUAUUUCAGGAUAUGUCAUUUUAUUUUGCC
ensembl:lncRNA